AGAAUCCUUUCCUCAGUUGCCAUAAGUGCCACAACAUUUAACCUAUUAAACUGUAAUACACUCUUCCAUUCAGACAUCACACAUAGUAAUACACUCUUCCACUCAGACAUCACACAUAGUAAUACACUCUUCCACUCAGACAUCACACAUAGUAAUACACUCUUCCAUUCAGACAUCACACAUAGUAAUACACUCUUCCACUCAGACAUCACACAUAGUAAUACACUCUUCCAUUCAGACAUCACACAUAGUAAUACACUCUUCCAUUCAGACAUCACACAUAGUAAUACACUCUUCCAUUCAGACAUCACACAUAGUAAUACACUCUUCCAUUCAGACAUCACACAUAGUAAUACACUCUUCCAUUCAGACAUCACACAUAGUAAUACACUCUUCCACUCAGACAUCACACAUAGUAAUACACUCUUCCAUUCAGACAUCACACAUAGUAAUACACUCUUCCACUCAGACAUCACACAUAGUAAUACACUCUUCCAUUCAGACAUCACACAUAGUAAUACACUCUUCCAUUCAGACAUCACACAUAGUAAUACACUCUUCCAUUCAGACAUCACACAUAGUAAUACACUCUUCCAUUCAGACAUCACACAUAGUAAUACACUCUUCCAUUCAGACAUCACACAUAGUAAUACACUCUUCCAUUCAGACAUCACACAUAGUAAUACACUCUUCCACUCAGACAUCACACAUAGUAAUACACUCUUCCAUUCAGACAUCACACAUAGUAAUACACUCUUCCACUCAGACAUCACACAUAGUAAUACACUCUUCCAUUCAGACAUCACACAUAGUAAUACACUCUUCCACUCAGACAUCACACAUAGUAAUACACUCUUCCAUUCAGACAUCACACAUAGUAAUACACUCUUCCAUUCAGACAUCACACAUAGUAAUACACUCUUCCAUUCAGACAUCACGCAUAGUAAUACACUCUUCCAUUCAGACAUCACACAUAGUAAUACACUCUUCCAUUCAGACAUCACACAUAGUAAUACACUCUUCCAUUCAGACAUCACACAUAGUAAUACACUCUUCCAUUCAGACAUCACACAUAGUAAUACACUCUUCCAUUCAGACAUCACACAUAGUAAUACACUCUUCCAUUCAGACAUCACACAUAGUAAUACACUCUUCCACUCAGACAUCACACAUAGUAAUACACUCUUCCAUUCAGACAUCACACAUAGUAAUACACUCUUCCACUCAGACAUCACACAUAGUAAUACACUCUUCCAUUCAGACAUCACACAUAGUAAUACACUCUUCCAUUCAGACAUCACACAUAGUAAUACACUCUUCCAUUCAGACAUCACACAUAGUAAUACACUCUUCCAUUCAGACAUCACACAUAGUAAUACACUCUUCCAUUCAGACAUCACACAUAGUAAUACACUCUUCCAUUCAGACAUCACACAUAGUAAUACACUCUUCCACUCAGACAUCACACAUAGUAAUACACUCUUCCAUUCAGACAUCACACAUAGUAAUACACUCUUCCACUCAGACAUCACACAUAGUAAUACACUCUUCCAUUCAGACAUCACACAUAGUAAUACACUCUUCCACUCAGACAUCACACAUAGUAAUACACUCUUCCAUUCAGACAUCACACAUAGUAAUACACUCUUCCAUUCAGACAUCACGCAUAGUAAUACACUCUUCCAUUCAGACAUCACGCAUAGUAAUACACUCUUCCAUUCAGACAUCACGCAUAGUAAUACACUCUUCCAUUCAGACAUCACGCAUAGUAAUACACUCUUCCAUUCAGACAUCACACAUAGUAAUACACUCUUCCAUUCAGACAUCACGCAUAGUAAUACACUCUUCCAUUCAGACAUCACACAUAGUAAUACACUCUUCCAUUCAGACAUCACACAUAGUAAUACACUCUUCCAUUCAGACAUCACACAUAGUAAUACACUCUUCCAUUCAGACAUCACACAUAGUAAUACACUCUUCCAUUCAGACAUCACACAUAGUAAUACACUCUUCCAUUCAGACAUCACACAUAGUAAUACACUCUUCCAUUCAGACAUCACACAUAGUAAUACACUCUUCCAUUCAGACAUCACACAUAGUAAUACACUCUUCCAUUCAGACAUCACACAUAGUAAUACACUCUUCCAUUCAGACAUCACACAUAGUAAUACACUCUUCCAUUCAGACAUCACACAUAGUAAUACACUCUUCCAUUCAGACAUCACACAUAGUAAUACACUCUUCCACUCAGACAUCACACAUAGUAAUACACUCUUCCAUUCAGACAUCACACAUAGUAAUACACUCUUCCAUUCAGACAUCACACAUAGUAAUACACUCUUCCAUUCAGACAUCACACAUAGUAAUACACUCUUCCAUUCAGACAUCACACAUAGUAAUACACUCUUCCAUUCAGACAUCACACAUAGUAAUACACUCUUCCAUUCAGACAUCACACAUAGUAAUACACUCUUCCAUUCAGACAUCACACAUAGUAAUACACUCUUCCAUUCAGACAUCACACAUAGUAAUACACUCUUCCAUUCAGACAUCACACAUAGUAAUACACUCUUCCAUUCAGACAUCACACAUAGUAAUACACUCUUCCAUUCAGACAUCACACAUAGUAAUACACUCUUCCAUUCAGACAUCACACACAGUAAUACACUCUUCCACUCAGACAUCACACAUAGUAAUACACUCUUCCAUUCAGACAUCACACAUAGUAAUACACUCUUCCACUCAGACAUCACACAUAGUAAUACACUCUUCCAUUCAGACAUCACACAUAGUAAUACACUCUUCCAUUCAGACAUCACACAUAGUAAUACACUCUUCCAUUCAGACAUCACACAUAGUAAUACACUCUUCCAUUCAGACAUCACACAUAGUAAUACACUCUUCCAUUCAGACAUCACACAUAGUAAUACACUCUUCCAUUCAGACAUCACACAUAGUAAUACACUCUUCCAUUCAGACAUCACACAUAGUAAUACACUCUUCCAUUCAGACAUCACACAUAGUAAUACACUCUUCCAUUCAGACAUCACACAUAGUAAUACACUCUUCCAUUCAGACAUCACACAUAGUAAUACACUCUUCCAUUCAGACAUCACACAUAGUAAUACACUCUUCCAUUCAGACAUCACACAUAGUAAUACACUCUUCCAUUCAGACAUCACACAUAGUAAUACACUCUUCCAUUCAGACAUCACACAUAGUAAUACACUCUUCCAUUCAGACAUCACACAUAGUAAUACACUCUUCCAUUCAGACAUCACACAUAGUAAUACACUCUUCCAUUCAGACAUCACACAUAGUAAUACACUCUUCCAUUCAGACAUCACACAUAGUAAUACACUCUUCCAUUCAGACAUCACACACAGUAAUACACUCUUCCACUCAGACAUCACACAUAGUAAUACACUCUUCCAUUCAGACAUCACACAUAGUAAUACACUCUUCCAUUCAGACAUCACACAUAGUAAUACACUCUUCCAUUCAGACAUCACACAUAGUAAUACACUCUUCCAUUCAGACAUCACACAUAGUCUGUUUUAUAUAAGCACUUUCUAA
ensembl:lncRNA